GCGCCUAGUAAGCUAUGGUUGGGACUUGUUCAUGAUCGACUUGCAAGUGCAGUAUUUGAUCAACCUUUAUCACCAUCCUCUUCAAAUGAAUAAAUUCAUUACUCAACGGAUCAAGGAUUUGAAAGUUUGGAGAUCCUAUCCUUGAAGAAAGUACCAAGCAGUUUGAAGAACAAGAAGUUUUUGUUUUGCUAGGGGUGAUUUAAACACAAUAGUUUAUGUACAUAUUCUACAUUCUGUUCUCUUUUUAGGAGUUGAUAAAAAUGAUGCCAAGCAAUGUGAAUAGGUAUAUUUUCUGGUAGUGUGAUGCUUUAGUUCAUUGUAUUAACAAUGAAGUUUUCAUGAAUAUUGAUUAUUUGAUUUA